rnacentral:rRNA from 1 species
AUUCCAGCUCCAAUAGCGUAUAUUAAUGUUGUUGCAGUUAAAAAGCUCGUAGUUGGAUUUCUGGAUUGAGCGGCUGGCCUUGCGCGCAAGCGUUCGUGUCGGCUUCGUUUCGGUCCAUCCUCAGGGGACUUGCGCUGGCAUUAACGUGUCGGUGUUGGGACGCCUGUCGUUUACUGUGAACAAAUUAGAGUGUUCAAAGCAAGGUGUACUUGAAUACAUUAGCAUGGAAUAAUAAGAUAGGACUCUGGUGGUUCUUUUUGAUAUUUUGUUGGUUUGCACGCCAAAGUAAUGAUUAAUAGGAGCAGUUGGGGGUAUUCGUAUUCAAUUGUCAGAGGUGAAAUUCUUGGAUUUAUAGAAGACGAACUACUGCGAAAGCAUUUACCAAGGAUGUUUUCAUUG